rnacentral:rRNA from 1 species
CCUACGGGAGGCAGCAGUAGGGAAUCUUUCACAAUGGGCGAAAGCCUGAUGGAGCAACGCCGCGUGCAGGAUGAAGGCCUUCGGGUUGUAAACUGCUUUUAUAAGCGAGAAAUAUGAUGGUAACUUAUGAAUAAGGAUCGGCUAACUACGUGCCAGCAGCCGCGGUCAUACGUAGGAUCCGAGCAUUAUCCGGAGUGACUGGGUGUAAAGAGUUGCGUAGGUGGCAUAAUAAGUAGCUAGUGAAAUCUGGUGGCUCAACCAUUCAGACGAUUAGCUAAACUGUUAAGCUCGAGACCGUUAGGGGCAACUGGAAUUUCUAGUGUAGGGGUGAAAUCCGUAGAUAUUAGAAGGAACACCAAUGGCGUAGGCAGGAUGCUGGGACGUUUCUGACACUAAGGCACGAAAGCGUAGGGAGCAAACGGGAUUAGAUACCCCAGUAGUC